CACGUAGGGUGCAAGCGUUGUCCGGAAUUAUUGGGCGUAAAGAGCUCGUAGGCGGUUUGUCGCGUCUGCUGUGAAAACUCAGGGCUUAACCCUGAGCCUGCAGUGGGUACGGGCAGACUAGAGUGUGGUAGGGGAGAUCGGAAUUCCUGGUGUAGCGGUGGAAUGCGCAGAUAUCAGGAGGAACACCGGUGGCGAAGGCGGAUCUCUGGGCCAUAACUGACGCUGAGGAGCGAAAGCAUGGGGAGCGAACAGG
rnacentral:rRNA from 1 species